GGAAUUUUGGACAAUGGGGGCAACCCUGAUCCAGCAAUGCCGCGUGAGUGAAGAAGGCCUUCGGGUUGUAAAGCCCUUUUGUCAGGGAAGAAACGGUGAUUUCUAAUACAAGUCACUAAGUACGGUACCUGAAGAAUAAGCACCGGCUAACUACGUGCCAGCAGCCGCGGUAAUACGUAGGGUGCAAGCGUUAAUCGGAAUUACUGGGCGUAAAGCGUGCGCAGGCGGUUGUGUAAGACAGGUGUGAAAUCCCCGGGCUCAACCUGGGAAUUGCAUUUGUGACUGCACGGCUAGAGUGUGUAAGAGGGGGGUAGAAUUCCACGUGUAGCAGUGAAAUGCGUAGAGAUGUGGAGGAAUACCGAUGGCGAAGGCAGCCCCCUGGGAUAACACUGACGCUCAUGCACGAAAGCGUGGGGAGCAAAC
rnacentral:rRNA from 1 species